rnacentral:rRNA from 1 species
UGAGGAAUAUUGGUCAAUGGGCGAGAGCCUGAACCAGCCAAAUCGCGUGAAGGAAGACUGCCUUAUGGGUUGUAAACUUCUUUUAUACAGGAAUAAAAAAGGGGACGUGUCCCUUAUUGCAUGUACUGUAUGAAUAAGCAUCGGCUAACUCCGUGCCAGCAGCCGCGGUAAUACGGAGGAUGCGAGCGUUAUCCGGAUUUAUUGGGUUUAAAGGGUGCGCAGGCGGGCUUUUAAGUCAGCGGUGAAAUCUCGGGGCUUAACUCCGAAACUGCCGUUGAAACUGGGAGUCUUGAGUAUGGAUGAAGUAGGCGGAAUUCGUUGUGUAGCGGUGACAUGCUUAGAUAUAACGAGGAACUCCGAUUGCGUAGGCAGCUUACUAAGCCAUAACUGACGCUCAAGCACGAAAGCGUGGGGAUCAAACAGGAUUAGAUACCCUGGUAGUCCACGCCGUAAACGAUGAUUACUAGUUGUAUGCGAUAUACCGUAUGUGACUAAGCGAAAAGCGAUAAGUAAUCCACCUGGGGAAGUACGCCGGCAACGGUGAAACUCAAAUGAAUUGACGGGGUCAUAGCUGUUUCCUG